UGUAUAUAUUUAGAAGGUGAAUUUUUGUCGAUUUGGCAGGUAGACAUUUUGGAUUUUGGCCGGUCGAGAAACUUCAAAGUUUGUUUACUUAAUCAUAUGGUUUGGGACUACCAAAAUAAACAAACAUAAAGCAUCGUUUUUCGGUUCAGUAAACCAAGUUUCUACAUUUAUCAUCGUCGUUGCACAUAGCACUGAAGAUAAACAGUUCCUUUACCAGCUCUAAAAAGAAAUUUGCGUGACGUUGUUUUCUUCAUACAGCUACCAAAGGCCUAUCGGACGUAUCGAAUUACGGCAUACCACUCGAUAAAAUUACACUGGUAGAUUAAGUGAAGCUGUUCGAUUCUCGUGCUAAGUACCAUAAAUUACAAGGAAUAGGAUAGAAUUGUGCCGCAUCCACCUCGAAACCCUUAUCUUUCGUACCCGUCAGGCGUAUAAUGCUUCACUGGAUAGCAUUAGCAAUUAUGCGUAGAUUGUUCGGAAAGUUUCACUAUGAUUUGAAAGCACCAGCACCACCAGUGCGUGGACCGUAAAGUAUCAGUAUCAUGAUGUGCUGCCUCCACUGGAUCCAGGUAAGGACUCCAUCGAUCAUCGGUGUAAGAACGUUUAUAUUGAAUGA